rnacentral:rRNA from 1 species
GGGGCAUCGGAUUCAUCUGGGUCGGCUCUACUCUCCCCCCUUUGGGAACCUCCCGCUGUUGCUUUGGCGGCUCCCGGCGCCACUGACGUGCGAUGUCGAGUCAGUCAACUAUCACAUGUGAUUAACAAACUAAUAAAUUAAAACUUUGAACAACGUAUCUCAUUCGUUCCGGCUUCAAUUAACAACGCAGCAAUCUCUUGGC